ensembl:lncRNA
CAGCUGUAAAACCACCUGUUGUAAGAAAGCAAAGUACUGUUCUGGAACAGCCACAGCUGAUGUGCUGAGGCGUAGGGAAACAUUUUCUAUAUUUUAUUCUAUCAGACAGGGGCCUAUUUCACAACUUCCCUCUGUUUCUGUGCCUUCAAUCCAUUUCAGUGAAACCUGUCUCCCAGGACAUCCCUUUCCCAAAGAAGGCAACCAAGUAUCGGCAGUGAGGAGGGAUGCUCCAGCCAUCUGAGCGUCCUCAUGGCCCUCCUCUGGACUGACUACAACAGGCCCAUGUCCUUCUCAUGCUGAAUGCACUACAUCAGAACCCAAAAAUAAGUGCAGAUUUAGAGAAUCCUGGAAUUAUCAGCGGAGUCCAAAGCCAGCAUUUGUUACAAUCAAUU